AUUGAACGCUGGCGGAAUGCUUUACACAUGCAAGUCGAACGGUAGAGGGGGCAACCCCUCGAGAGUGGCGAACGGGUGAGUAAUAUAUCGGAACAUGCCCAGUCGUGGGGGAUAACGUAGCGAAAGUUACGCUAAUACCGCAUACGAUCUAAGGAUGAAAGCGGGGGAUCGCAAGACCUCGCGCGAUUGGAGCGGCCGAUAUCAGAUUUGGUAGUUGGUGGGGUAAAGGCUCACCAAGCCAACGAUCUGUAGCUGGUCUGAGAGGACGACCAGCCACACUGGAACUGAGACGCGGUCCAGACUCCUACGGGAGGCAGCAGUGGGGAAUUUUGGACAAUGGACGCAAGUCUGAUCCAGCCAUUCCGCGUGCAGGAUGAAGGCCCUCGGGUUGUAAACUGCUUUUGUACGGAACGAAAAGGUCUCUCUUAAUACGGGGGACUCAUGACGGUACCGUAAGAAUAAGCACCGGCUAACUACGUGCCAGCCGCCGCCGUAA
rnacentral:rRNA from 1 species